UACUCCUUUAAGGAGAGGAUUGCACUUGUUCUCUUGCAUAUUAAUCCUCUCUAUCUAUUCUACCUCCUCAUUCUCUGAUUCAUAAUCCUAUAAUGAUCUAGUCCUUCUGUAUUCUCUCUCUUUCUUAUGGAAUUAAAACUUCUGAAGCAUCCACUCACAUUCUUCUACUGCUUUGUAGAGAUUGCCUCCAAAAGGACUCCCCAUUUCCCUUGUACCUCAGUGCCAAAAAAAAAAAUGCUACAAAUGUUGCACGUGACAGAAAACAUCUUGCUCUGUGGUAGAUAGUUCUAUACAUACCACAUGCCCCUCAUUAUACUGCUCACCACUGCUCUAUAGCCACCCUCUGGUUAUUUGAUUUCCCUAUUUGCCUCAAAAGUCUCCUUCCUGGAUACAUGUCCUCCUUCUUCCUCAGGUACAAGAUGACCCCAGAAUUCCCAGCUGCCCUCUCAACUCAAGAAAGAAGUAUCUUACUGGUCUCUCUGCUGUUGUUCUCCUUGGAAGAUGAACUCAAUUAUGCUUCCUGUAUUUUUUGUUUGAAGAUGUUCAAGAAGCAAAUCACCUUUUCAGGUAUGGUUUUCUUUCUAAGGAUGUUUUAAAUAUUUCUUUAUUAUUGAAUGACCAUCAUUUAAAAAAUU
rnacentral:lncRNA from 1 species